rnacentral:rRNA from 1 species
GACGAACGCUGGCGGCGUGCUUAACACAUGCAAGUCGAACGGAAAGGCCCUGCUUUUGUGGGGUGCUCGAGUGGCGAACGGGUGAGUAACACGUGAGUAACCUGCCCUUGACUUUGGGAUAACUUCAGGAAACUGGGGCUAAUACCGGAUAGGAGCUCCUGCUGCAUGGUGGGGGUUGGAAAGUUUCGGCGGUUGGGGAUGGACUCGCGGCUUAUCAGCUUGUUGGUGGGGUAGUGACUUACCAAGGCUUUGACGGGUAGCCGGCCUGAGAGGGUGACCGGCCACAUUGGGACUGAGAUACGGCCCAGACUCCUACGGGAGGCAGCAGUGGGGAAUAUUGCACAAUGGGCGGAAGCCUGAUGCAGCAACGCCGCGUGCGGGAUGACGGCCUUCGGGUUGUAAACCGCUUUCGCCUGUGACGAAGCGUGAGUGGCGGUAAUGGGUAAAGAAGCACCGGCUAACUACGUG